AGUGAACGCUGGCGGCGUGCCUAAUACAUGCAAGUCGAACGAAGUGGCGCACGGGUGAGUAAUAUAUAGUUAAUCUGCCCUACACAGAGGAACAAAAGUUGGAAACGGCUGCUAAUACCUCCUAUUGUAGGAUGAGAUUAUAACGUAUCAGCUAGUUGGUAAGGUAAUGGCUGACCAAGGCUAUGACGCGUAACUGGUCUGCGAGGAUGAUCAGUCACAUUGGAACUGAGACACCGUCCAAACUCCUACGGGAGGCGGCAGUAAGGAGUAUUGCGCAAUGGGGGUAACCCUGACGCAGCAACGCCGCGUAGAGGAUGACACUUUUCGGAGCGUAAACUCCUUUUAUCAGGAAAGCGGUACCUGAUGAAUAAGCACCGGCUAACUCCGUGCCAGCAGCCGCGGUAAUUC
rnacentral:rRNA from 1 species